rnacentral:rRNA from 1 species
UGCCGUGAAAUCNUCUGGCUUAACUGGGGGCGUGCGGUGGGUACGGGCUGACUUGAGUGCGGUAGGGGAGACUGGAACUCCUGGUGUAGCGGUGGAAUGCGCAGAUAUCAGGAAGAACACCGGUGGCGAAGGCGGGUCUCUGGGCCGUUACUGACGCUGAGGAGCGAAAGCGUGGGGAGCGAACAGGAUUAGAUACCCUGGUAGUCCACGCUGUAAACGUUGGGCACUAGGUGUGGGGGCCACCCGUGGUUUCUGCGCCGUAGCUAACGCUUUAAGUGCCCCGCCUGGGGAGUACGGCCGCAAGGCUAAAACUCAAAGGAAUUGACGGGGGCCCGCACAAGCGGCGGAGCAUGCGGAUUAAUUCGAUGCAACGCGAAGAACCUUACCAAGGCUUGACAUGCACGGCGGCACUGCAGAGAUGUGGUGGCAUUUAGUUGGUCGUGUGCAGGUGGUGCAUGGUUGUCGUCAGCUCGUGUCGUGAGAUGUUGGGUUAAGUCCCGCAACGAGCGCAACCCUUGCCCUAUGUUGCCAGCACGUGAUGGUGGGGACUCGUGGGGGACUGCCGGGGUUAACUCGGAGGAAGGUGGGGAUGACGUCAAAUCAUCAUGCCCCUUAUGUCUUGGGCUUCACGCAUGCUACAAUGGCUGGUACAGAGGGUUGCGAUAUCGUGAGGUGGAGCGAAUCCCUUAAAGCCAGUCUCAGUUCGGAUUGGGGUCUGCAACUCGACCCCAUGAAGGUGGAGUCGCUAGUAAUCGCAGAUCAGCAACGCUGCGGUGAAUACGUUCUCGGGCCUUGUACACACCGCCCGUCACGUCACGAAAGUUGGU